GACAGAGGGUGCAAACGUUGUUCGGAAUUACUGGGCGUAAAGCGCGUGUAGGCGGCUCGGAAAGUCGGAUGUGAAAGCCCUGGGCUCAACCUAGGAAGUGCAUUCGAAACUUCCGAGCUUGAGUGCUGGAGAGGAAGGCGGAAUUCUCGGUGUAGAGGUGAAAUUCGUAGAUAUCGAGAGGAACACCGGUGGCGAAGGCGACUACCUGGCCUGUUCUUGACGCUGAGGCGCGAAAGCUAGGGGAGCAAACGGG
rnacentral:rRNA from 1 species